UACGUAGGGCGCAAGCGUUAUCCGGAAUUAUUGGGCGUAAAGAGCUCGUAGGCGGUUUGUCGCGUCUGCCGUGAAAGUCCGGGGCUCAACUCCGGAUCUGCGGUGGGUACGGGCAGACUAGAGUGAUGUAGGGGAGACUGGAAUUCCUGGUGUAGCGGUGAAAUGCGCAGAUAUCAGGAGGAACACCGAUGGCGAAGGCAGGUCUCUGGGCAUUAACUGACGCUGAGGAGCGAAAAGCAUGGGGAGCGA
rnacentral:rRNA from 1 species